rnacentral:lncRNA from 1 species
AUGGCGGAGGGCGGCGGAGGCGUGCCCCCCCCCUCCUGCUCUUCCUCCUCUUCCUCCUCCUCCUUGAAGGGGCUGCGGGAGCAGAUGGUUGCUGCAGCCCAAGCCAUAGCAGAUGAAAGAAGAAGCCAAAGUGGUGUCAGCCCUAUUGCAGUCCAGACCUCAAUUAACAUAAAGACAGCAACUAAACCAGUGAUAGAUGGUUCCACUCUAAGAACAGAAGAAAGGCAAAGACUGGCCAGGGAGCGCAGAGAGGAGCGGGAAAAGCAAAAUGUCACUUAUUUUUCAGCUUGCUGGGGACAAACAACAUCUGCCCAUGGUAUUGUUUCAUUGACCAUCGGUGAACCCGAAAGGAGAAGUAUUAGAGUUGAGAGGAAAAUAUUCCAGAGAUUUGUGGCUUCUUGAAGCUGUAUGUCAUUUCUGACAUUCAGUUUUCUGGAGGCCACCAGGCAAAAUUAGCUGCCUUCGUAUUCACGGUGUCAACAAAAACACUUCUGAAACAAUAACCUUUAGCUUAGAACCACUACCUGAAAACUGAGGUUUGGGAAACACUGAUUCAGAGAAAACCAAAAAGAAUAUAGCUAGUUGAAUGGCUUGAUUGCCUUGAACACUGCUUUUCUUGUUUCCUAGCACACUGAAAAGAUUCCUGGAUUGAAGUGACAGCAGUAUCUGCUUUAUCUCAGCUAAGAAACUGAGACUUAAAGUGUAAAACUUUCACCCAGCUUUAUGUUGCUUUUGGUGUGAAUCUCAGUUUAUAUACAUGCAGCAAGAGAUAAAAGGUUCCCUGUAUGGCCUGCAGUCCUUACUCUCAGUCUCCCAGCUGCUGCUUAACGUA